GAUGUCUAGUAUCUCUAGGUUAGAAAUGAGUGAAAGCAUCCUUUGCCACUGAUGGAGACACAGCCCUCUAGCACGCAAGCUGAAGGUCCACACAUCAUUGUGCCACAGCUACAGGCCCAAGGUCAUUUUUGUGCUCAAUCGGUCUAGAACAGUUGCCAAAUAUGUCUUCUGAUUACUUCGGAUCAUUUUAGAUGAUGAUUUCAUUGAGUCUUUCCAGAAAUUCAUAAAACUCCUCCAGAUUACAUUAACUCCUUGCAGUGCUGUGUUACAACGAUUGCCUGAUCACACAAAGGUCAGAGUCUCCUUUAUCAAGGCCACAAGUAGAUCCGUAUCUGCUUCUAGCAAUUCAAACUCCUUCAGAGGUCUGAUUAAUUCCUUCUUUUCGCUUCCCCAAGCUCCUGGCAGUGCCUGGGAUCUCCCUGUUCCCAAACACCACCACGAACUUCAUCCUCAUCACAUCACAGCCCUGCUUUGGCAGUCCAGGGAGUGCAGAGCCUUCAGCAGGCUGCAGUUGGCCUACACUUGUGGAAUAAGUGACGUUGAAACAACUCUGUUCAGAAAGACAAAAGCGUUUAAUGACAAAACACUUCAAGCUCCAAGCUGUUCCUGGGGCCAAAGAGCCUGGUUUUCCUCUCUGAUGUACCUGCAGCUCCCACAGCACCCCGUAACACCCCGUAACACAUCAGCAGAAGGGGAAUGCCAUCGGCAGGGAAGCUGUCUGCACAGAAAGGGUGAGCCCAGGGUGAAUGCUGGUCUCCCAGACCUGAAUUCCCAGGAGUAACAGGAUCUCCUACACUCCUUUGGACGUUACAGUGAAAAUGGGACCUUAGACUUGCAGCACCCUGCUAAAUGCCCUGCUACACACCGCAGGUCCCCAGGAUCAGGCAGGAGUAUGUUGUUACCUGCAUCGACCUGUCCAUCUGGAGCUGCCCUGUGGGCUUCAGAGUGCUAGCAAAGCAGGCUGGUGGGGCCUUCCUUAGAGGAAGAGGAAGAGCAGGCCAAGCCAGCCCAGGAAGAGCAGCCUCUUCCCGCUUCAGCUGCCUGGGGAUGGAGGAACGACGGGGAAACCCUGCUCAGCUUCCCCCCAGAUGAGAAAGGAUGUCAGGCACUUCGCUGCCAUGCUGCCACACUGGGUGAUAGACCACGUAAAUAUACCUGAUACUUAAAAUAUACAAAGGGAGCAGUCAGGAGAACUGGAAAACCACCAGAGACACUGCUACCUUACUGCUUGCUCUCUUGGGUACUGGGACGGCGUCGGACAUGCUCGUGGAACCAGGAAAACUGAAAAGAACCAGAGACAAAUGCCAACACAUUUCAUCUCAACAGAAGGGCCCCAGAGCUCUGCUUCACCUGACAGGGGCUGGGCUGGGGGCAGAGGCUGGGGUCUCCAGCCCCGUCGCCCCACCCAGGGCCUACAGGGCUGCCCACGGGGUGUGACAUGCAGCCCAGCCAGAACCCCCCAUAACAUAAACAGAGCAUCUGACCCAAAACAACUCCAUCUGAUCAGUCAGCUAGAUUUAGGGUGAAUCAAGCAAAAAAUAACAGCUUCCGUUUGCUUGAACAAACCAAGUCAGAAAUUAUGGCCAUAGUGAUCUGAAACGUUUAGAUAUUUCUCAUGAUAAACUUACAAAAUUCAGGCAAAGUCAACAUUUCUUCCUUUGGCAGAAAUUACAUUUACCAUCAUAAAAGUCUUGUGAGUGGAAGAUUUCCAGCAGGCAUUUUCUACCAAACAAACGCACUUACCAAAGACUAUUUUAACUUAAUUGUCCGAUUUUCCAAGCUGUGGCAGAGACCUUUUUAAAUUUUUGCCCAUCUGACUAACAACUGCCUUUAUAAACCAGGCAAAAAUAUUUCCUAGAUACUGUACAUACUACAUCUGACAAAUGGCACAACUUAUGGAAAGGGAAAGAAAACUGCAUCCUGCUGAAAUUCUUGCAAAAUUGUGAUGAAACAUCAACAUUGGGCCCUGGUUGUGGAAAAUACCCCCAUUUAAGAGACCCUGAAGCGCAUGCACAUCUGACUGUAAAGCAAUGGGAAAGAAGCACACGUUCAAAGUACUAGAUUGAAAGCUGAUCUGAAGAACUGCAUUAAAAAAAAAAAAAGAAAAAGAAAAAGAAAAAAAGAAAGAAAUGGUUCUCUCACCAGUUCUGUCUGAGCAAGGUUUGCUCUAUCUGAGAGAGCUCAAGCAGCUUCCUGGGUGCAUUAGUGCAUCAAAGGGUGCAGAAAACCAUCGUGGUGCUUUGUCUGUGCCCCAGCGUGGGGCAGAUUAGCCCUGGGCUAUUCUGAACAUUCACAAAUGGAGUCAGGGUAUAGAGGCUACACUUUACAAACCAGUCCAGCUCCCAGUCUGGAGAGAGAAGCAGAGCUGGAGACUGUACAAUUUCUUUCUAAAUUGCGACAGGAUUUCCAGAAUCCCAGAAAUCACAGCAGAAAUGUGGUUGCCCUACAUUUGAGGAACCUAACUUCAGGUGGGCAACCUGCUCUGACAGAUUUUGCAUUACCGUGCCAAACUGUACUUGCUAACGCUUCACAUCAAAGCGCAGGUGCACGCAUACAUGUGCGAGUGGCAAACCAGGACUCUGAGACCUGAUCCAGUUGGAGCUGGAUCCAAGGAAGCAUGGGACACUGCCAGGGUUCGAACAUGAGGCUUGGCUCCAGAAAGGAUGGGAACCACUAGACGACACACUUCUUUGGCACAGGUGGAGCCCAACCCCAGAGAUCUGGAAGACGACCAAGUACCGAGAAGCCACUGCAGCCGGCGUUCAACAGAGCUUCACACAAGCGUCCUCCCAUAACCUUCUUGCUUUACAACCAUUUGCACAGCAAAACAGCGGUAGCAAACUGCAAUCUGAAGAAGAGUGAAAUUUUCAGACAUCAGUGGGACAUGUGGCCCUGCAGAAUAAUUCUUCCUAAAUGUAAAUUUUGUCCGAUUAUCUUCUGGCAUACUUCUGACUGUCAUCCAGGCUGCAAUGACUGCUAUCAGUGUAGUAAGCUAAUAGAGCUGAAAUGUUAACUAAGAUUAUUGAUAGUGCCAUGUAUCUAGUCCAUUAUAAUCUCUGCCUAGAGAUUGUGGAGUUCAUAAUAGCUAGCAAUAAAAUAUUUUUGUCCAUAAAGGAGGAAGAUAAUCACUACACGUCAACUUUGCUCAAAAACACUCAACAGCUUAAAAAUUCUAAAUAUACUAACCUUGUUCCGACUAAUACAGCAUUAUUGCUUCACAAAGAGUUCCUUGCACUGUCCUUUUAGUUACAAAUUAUGUUUUUUCAAGGACAACUUAAUACAGAGUCAUUUAAAUUGCUGGCAUUUAUAUCUCUAAUAAACUGCAGCCUGAUAAUCACGGACUAUAAAGGAUUAUUUUUUCUCUUACAUUAUCACAGAGCAGCUGUAAAAGUACAAAAUCCACAGAACUGUGUGUACCCAGUCCUAAUGACAAACACAGAGCCUCAUCCUUCUGGCCUGAGCAAAACCUGGUAGGCUGUCCUCCUGGAAAAAAAAAAAAAAAAAGGCUAAGACGGUUGUUCCCCUCAAAUAUUUACUCAUACAUCUUCCCUUCUCAAAUCAGAUGCCAGGCUCCUGCUGCUUCUUCAUUUUCAGGAGUACAUUUUUCUUUUUUUUUUUUCUGCUUUAACUCUUCUGGUGCCCUGCACGAACAGAAACACCUGGUGCAGCCACCAGCUUUACACCAGGAAGGGGCUGGCAGAAGAGCUGCCGCUUCUGUUUUACAAGAGUGCUUUGGGCGUUGGCACUUACAUACAUGGAGGGCCUCUUUUACUUCCUCCCCAAGACAUGUUUUACUGACCUAUUUAUUAUGCCGUCAUUUCACUUAGGGUGAACAGAAACACCCUGUUUGCAUUCGCUUUUAUACCCAGAUCCACCAAAAGCACGGGAACUAAAGUUACCUGAUCCUGCAGGGACACAAAGGUGGCCUCACUGAGUUUACCCUGUGCCCAGCUAUGCCAGGGAUCCUCCUCCAAACAUCAGUGUAAAUGCCAUAAACUCUGUGCUGGGCAGUUGGAUGAAAACCUACCAGUACAAUGUGCUUUCUCCACCCUGUUUCCACUUACCUUGAGAGCCAGCCAUCAAAUCCAUCUUCCCC
rnacentral:lncRNA from 1 species